rnacentral:pre_miRNA from 1 species
AAAAAGUCAAACCCUGGAUUUUCGUGUCCAACUUUGACUGUCCGUCUUAUAUGAAUUUUUUUUAUAAUUUGUAUUUUUAUUGUUGUUAGAUGAUAAAACAUGAUUAAUAUUUUAUGCGUGACUUGUCUUUUUAAUUUUUUUCAUAAUUUUUUCAAAUAAGACGGACGGUCAAAUGUUGGACACAGAAACC